UGGACCACCCCCUCGCCUGGCCUGGGGAGUCUGCCAAGCCCGAAGGGAGGGAGGGACAACAGAAGUUUUGAGAACGACACAGACAACAGGAGAGGUAAAAGUGAACCAGUGCUGAGAUCUCCGUAUGAAUCAGGAUUUUCCAUGACAGACAUUGACCCAGAUAAAGACUAUUCCAUUCCCAGGCCUCAGACCACAAACAUAAAUGAACCCUACGACGAAUACUACGGACCCAGGCUGUCUAAUUGACACGCUAUUACAUUAACCAUAUCCAACAUAAAUACAUUUCACAGUCAAUCAAUCUUCGUGUUCUGUUCUCUCGUUUAGCGGUCUACCAUCAAGUUCAUUAUUCUACGACA